UACAGAGGUCUCAAGCGUUGUUCGGAUUCAUUGGGCGUAAAGGGUGCGUAGGCGGCGCGGUAAGUCGGGUGUGAAAUCUCGGGGCUUAACUCCGAAACUGCAUUCGAUACUGCCGUGCUUGAGGACUGGAGAGGAGACUGGAAUUUACGGUGUAGCGGUGAAAUGCGUAGAUAUCGGAAGGAAGACCAGUGGCGAAGGCGGGUCUCUGGACAGUUCCUGACGCUGAGGCACGAAGGCGAGGGGAGCAAACGGG
rnacentral:rRNA from 1 species